UGAAAAAUAAAAAGAAAAAAG
rnacentral:piRNA from 1 species